rnacentral:misc_RNA from 1 species
GAAUGUAUAUCUGAACUCCUUGCUUAGCCUUGGUUUCCAGCAAAGAGUCAAGCCUAGAGGAUGCAUGGGCAUGAAAAGGACGUCGUAAAUAAAGUUCUGGGCACAGCCACCAGCCACAAAUAAAUAUCUCUGAUUUAGCAUCCUCGAUUGACGAAGCAAUAGCACUAAAAGCUGCCCUACCAUCUAUAAACCAUUGAGCCUGACUACCAUCUUCAGUCAAACCCCUAGGAGGAGCAAAGGAGCCAAAGCGAUGAGGAUGACACCAACCUUCAGGAGGCCUAAG